rnacentral:tRNA from 1 species
AGAAAUUUAGGUUACACUAAACCAAGGGCUUUCAAAGCCCUAAACAGGACUAACCCCUAAUUUCUG